AGUGAACGCUGGCGGUAGGCCUAACACAUGCAAGUCGAACGGCAGCACAGAGGAGCUUGCUCCUUGGGUGGCGAGUGGCGGACGGGUGAGGAAUACAUCGGAAUCUACUCUGUCGUGGGGGAUAACGUAGGGAAACUUACGCUAAUACCGCAUACGACCUACGGGUGAAAGCAGGGGAUCUUCGGACCUUGCGCGAUUGAAUGAGCCGAUGUCGGAUUAGCUAGUUGGCGGGGUAAAGGCCCACCAAGGCGACGAUCCGUAGCUGGUCUGAGAGGAUGAUCAGCCACACUGGAACUGAGACACGGUCCAGACUCCUACGGGAGGCAGCAGUGGGGAAUAUUGGACAAUGGGCGCAAGCCUGAUCCAGCCAUACCGCGUGGGUGAAGAAGGCCUUCGGGUUGUAAAGCCCUUUUGUUGGGAAAGAAAUCCAGCUGGCUAAUACCCGGUUGGGAUG
rnacentral:rRNA from 1 species